GCCCCGGUGGCGGAACUGGUAGACGCGCAGGACUUAAAAUCCUGUUUCCCGCAACGGAAGUACGGGUUCGAUUCCCGUCUGGGGCA
rnacentral:tRNA from 2 species